rnacentral:ncRNA from 1 species
AAAACAACGCUAGAAAAGGAAGUAGUAAAAAGUCGAAAGUUUUAGAGAGCACAUGGGUGGUGGAAAUGUGUACGGACACUUUUGAACUCGCCUUUGAGUUGCACCUACUGAACUACUAGUAAGUAGGGGCGGUGACGACCGUUAAAACGUUUGAGGCCUUUUUUGAAAAAGGCAAAGUUAGGUGGUACCACGUAGAUUACGUCCUAUAA